GUAGCUACGCAAGUUGCAUUGCUACCAAGUGAUUAAGAGCUCAAUUCACAUGGCUACAAAACGAGGCCAAACUGUGUUAGCAAAGUGUUGCCUCGCAUUCCAGAUUAUGUCUGACUGCACAGACUGACCUUGCCGCUAAGAAUUGGGGUAAUAGUAAAUGAACGGACACCAUUCGUAUGGGCUUUACUGCUCGAGUUGACAUGAGGACAGCAGCACUCACCUUGCCGCAGACAAAUAGAGUGACAUCAACUGCUAACACUUGGUGCCGUAACCCGGAUGAAUUGGUCAUGAACAACAACAAGAAAACUCAUCAACUGUGUUGAUCCAGAAGAUAGAGAGAAGGCUGAGCGCAGCCCACUUUGGGAGUCAACUCUUAACCUCCUGAUUGAUGUCAUGAGAGUCUACCGUCUGAAGCUGAAGUGAUAUCCCUUGAUCCAAGGACCGUACUUGAAAUGGUACAAGAUCACCUGUGCAGUGUUCAUUAGAGAAGUCCUUUUCAACCAGGUGGAACGGAAGAAGAAUUCCUCACUACAGGCAAACGGUCAGAACCACUGGAGAGAAUCACUGGAGAAUCACAGAGGACAGGGUAGAAAUGACCAUCUACUUCCGAUGUAGAUUUGUCCUCUUUGAAUAAACCUAUU